GCGGUGUCGCCGGUGGUGCGGGCGGCCUUCUCGUCGAGGGCGGCGCUGUCGGAGGCGCCGAGCAGGGCGGCGGUGGCCGCGCCGGCGCCGCUC
rnacentral:tRNA from 1 species